AACGAACGCUGGCGGCAUGCCUAACACAUGCAAGUCGAACGAAGGCUUCGGCCUUAGUGGCGCACGGGUGCGUAACGCGUGGGAAUCUGCCCUUGGGUUCGGAAUAACAGUGAGAAAUUACUGCUAAUACCGGAUGAUGACUUCGGUCCAAAGAUUUAUCGCCCAAGGAUGAGCCCGCGUAAGAUUAGCUAGUUGGUGAGGUAAAGGCUCACCAAGGCGACGAUCUUUAGCUGGUCUGAGAGGAUGAUCAGCCACACUGGGACUGAGACACGGCCCAGACUCCUACGGGAGGCGGCAGUGGGGAAUAUUGGACAAUGGGCGAAAGCCUGAUCCAGCAAUGCCGCGUGAGUGAUGAAGGCCUUAGGGUUGUAAAGCUCUUUUACCAGGGAUGAUAAUGACAGUACCUGGAGAAUAAGCUCCGGCUAACUCCGUGCCAGCAGCCGCGGUAAUACGGAGGGAGCUAGCGUUGUUCGGAAUUACUGGGCGUAAAGCGCACGUAGGCGGCCAUUCAAGUCAGAGGUGAAAGCCCGGGGCUCAACCCCGGAACUGCCUUUGAAACUAGAUGGCUUGAAUCUUGGAGAGGCGAGUGGAAUUCCGAGUGUAGAGGUGAAAUUCGUAGAUAUUCGGAAGAACACCAGUGGCGAAGGCGACUCGCUGGACAAGUAUUGACGCUGAGGUGCGAAAGC
rnacentral:rRNA from 1 species